UACGUAGGGUGCGAGCGUUGUCCGGAAUUAUUGGGCGUAAAGAGCUCGUAGGCGGUCUGUCGCGUCCGUUGUGAAAACUCGAGGCUCAACCUCGGGCUUGCAGUGGAUACGGGCAGACUAGAGUGAUGUAGGGGAGACUGGAAUUCCUGGUGUAGCGGUGAAAUGCGCAGAUAUCAGGAGGAACACCGGUGGCGAAGGCGGGUCUCUGGGCCGAUACUGACGCUGAGGAGCGAAAGCGUGGGGAGCGAACCGG
rnacentral:rRNA from 1 species